UACGUAGGGGGCAAGCGUUAUCCGGAUUUACUGGGUGUAAAGGGGGCGCAGACGGCGAUGCAAGCCAGGAGUGAAAGCCCGGGGCCCAACCCCGGGACUGCUCUUGGAACUGCGUGGCUGGAGUGCAGGAGGGGCAGGCGGAGUUCCUGGUGUAGCGGUGAAAUGCGUAGAUAUAUGGAGGAACACCGGUGGCGAAAGCGGCUCUCUGGCCCGUAACUGACACUGAGGCUCGAAAGCGUGGGGAGCAAACAGG
rnacentral:rRNA from 1 species